GGAAAGGGCUGUAGCUCCAUGGCAGAGCAUCUGCUUUCCAAGCAGAAGGCUCCAGGCUGAAUCCCUGGCAUCAUGUCCA